UGGCGGACGGGUGAGUAAUGUCUGGGGAACUGCCCGAUGGAGGGGGAUAACUACUGGAAACGGUAGCUAAUACCGCAUAACGUCGCAAGACCAAAGAGGGGACCUUCGGGCCUCUUGCCAUCGGAUGUGCCCAGAUGGGAUUAGCUAGUAGGUGGGGUAACGGCUCACCUAGGCGACGAUCCCUAGCUGGUCUGAGAGGAUGACCAGCCACACUGGAACUGAGACACGGUCCAG
rnacentral:rRNA from 1 species